AGUGAACGCUGGCGGUAGGCCUAACACAUGCAAGUCGAACGGCAGCACAGUAAGAGCUUGCUCUUACGGGUGGCGAGUGGCGGACGGGUGAGGAAUACAUCGGAAUCUACUUUUUCGUGGGGGAUAACGUAGGGAAACUUACGCUAAUACCGCAUACGACCUACGGGUGAAAGCAGGGGAUCUUCGGACCUUGCGCGAUUGAAUGAGCCGAUGUCGGAUUAGCUAGUUGGCGGGGUAAAGGCCCACCAAGGCGACGAUCCGUAGCUGGUCUGAGAGGAUGGUCAGCCACAAUGGAACUGAGAACCGGUCCAGACUCCUAAGGGAGGCAGCAGGGGGGAAUAUUGGACAAUGGGGGCAAGCCUGAUCCAACCAUACCGCGUGGGUGAAGAAGGCCUUCGGGUUGUAAAGCCCUUUUGUUGGGAAAGAAAAGCAGCAGGUUAAUACCCCGCUGUUCUGACGGUACCCAAAGAAUAAGCACCGGCUAACUUCGUG
rnacentral:rRNA from 1 species